GACGAACGCUGGCGGCGUGCCUAAUACAUGCAAGUAGAACGCUGAAGAGAGGAGCUUGCUCUUCUUGGAUGAGUUGCGAACGGGUGAGUAACGCGUAGGUAACCUGCCUUGUAGCGGGGGAUAACUAUUGGAAACGAUAGCUAAUACCGCAUAACAAUGGAUGACCCAUGUCUUUUAUUUGAAAGGGGCAAAUGCUCCACUACAAGAUGGACCUGCGUUGUAUUAGCUAGUAGGUGAGGUAACGGCUCACCUAGGCGACGAUACAUAGCCGACCUGAGAGGGUGAUCGGCCACACUGGGACUGACACACGGCCCACACUCCUACGGGAGGCAGCAGUAGGGAAUCUUCGGCAAUGGGGGCAACCCUGACCGAGCAACGCCGCGUGAGUGAAGAAGGUUUUCGGAUCGUAAAGCUCUGUUGUAAGUCAAGAACGAGUGUGAGAGUGGAAAGUUCACACUGUGACGGUAGCUUACCAGAAAGGGACGGCUAACUACGUGCCAGCAGCCGCGGUAAUACGUAGGUCCCGAGCGUUGUCCGGAUUUAUUGGGCGUAAAGCGAGCGCAGGCGGUUUGAUAAGUCUGAAGUUAAAGGCUGUGGCUCAACCAUAGUUCGCUUUGGAAACUGUCAAACUUGAGUGCAGAAGGGGAGAGUGGAAUUCCAUGUGUAGCGGUGAAAUGCGUAGAUAUAUGGAGGAACACCGGUGGCGAAAGCGGCUCUCUGGUCUGUAACUGACGCUGAGGCUCGAAAGCGUGGGGAGCGAACAGGAUUAGAUACCCUGGUAGUCCACGCCGUAAACGAUGAGUGCUAGGUGUUGGAUCCUUUCCGGGAUUCAGUGCCGCAGCUAACGCAUUAAGCACUCCGCCUAGGGAGUACGACCGCAAGGUUGAAACUCAAAGGAAUUGACGGGGGCCCGCACAAGCGGUGGAGCAUGUGGUUUAAUUCGAAGCAACGCGAAGAACCUACCAGGUCUUGACAUCCCGAUGCUAUUUCUAGAGAUAGAAAGUUACUUCGGUACAUCGGUGACAGGUGGUGCAUGGUUGUCGUCAGCUCGUGUCGUGAGAUGUUGGGUUAAGUCCCGCAACGAGCGCAACCCCUAUUGUUAGUUGCCAUCAUUCAGUUGGGCACUCUAGCGAGACUGCCGGUAAUAAACCGGAGGAAGGUGGGGAUGACGUCAAAUCAUCAUGCCCCUUAUGACCUGGGCUACACACGUGCUACAAUGGUUGGUACAACGAGUUGCGAGUCGGUGACGGCAAGCUAAUCUCUUAAAGCCAAUCUCAGUUCGGAUUGUAGGCUGCAACUCGCCUACAUGAAGUCGGAAUCGCUAGUAAUCGCGGAUCAGCACGCCGCGGUGAAUACGUUCCCGGGCCUUGCACU
rnacentral:rRNA from 1 species